rnacentral:rRNA from 1 species
AAUGGGCGAAAGCCUGACGGAGCAACGCCGCGUGAGGGAUGAAGGCCUCUGGGCUGUAAACCUCUUUUAUCAAGGAAGAAGAUCUGACGGUACUUGAUGAAUAAGCCACGGCUAAUUCCGUGCCAGCAGCCGCGGUAAUACGGGAGUGGCAAGCGUUAUCCGGAAUUAUUGGGCGUAAAGCGUCCGCAGGCGGCCCUUCAAGUCUACUGUUAAAAAGUGGAGCUUAACUCCAUCAUGGCAGUGGAAACUGUUGGGCUUGAGUGUGGUAGGGGCAGAGGGAAUUCCCGGUGUAGCGGUGAAAUGCGUAGAUAUCGGGAAGAACACCAGUGGCGAAGGCGCUCUGCUGGGCCAUCACUGACGCUCAUGGACGAAAGCCAGGGGAGCGAAAGGGAUU